rnacentral:rRNA from 1 species
AGUGAACGCUGGCGGUAGGCCUAACACAUGCAAGUCGAACGGCAGCACAGUAAGAGCUUGCUCUUACGGGUGGCGAGUGGCGGACGGGUGAGGAAUACAUCGGAAUCUACUUUUUCGUGGGGGAUAACGUAGGGAAACUUACGCUAAUACCGCAUACGACCUACGGGUGAAAGCAGGGGAUCUUCGGACCUUGCGCGAUUGAAUGAGCCGAUGUCGGAUUAGCUAGUUGGCGGGGUAAAGGCCCACCAAGGCGACGAUCCGUAGCUGGUCUGAGAGGAUGAUCACCCACACUGGACCUGGGCCACGGCCCGAACUCUUCCGGAGGCCACCGUGGGGGAUUAUUGGACAUGGGGCGCAGGCUUGACCCGGCCAUCCGGCGGGGUUGAGGAGGGCCUUCGGUUGGUAAGGCCUUUUGUUUGGGAAGAAAAGGCACCAGGUUAUUCCCCCGCUGUUCUGACGGUACCCAAAGAAUAAGCACCGGCUAACUUCGUG